UCUGUGAAUUGUGGAGUCACAAUUAAUGGUUCAUGUUGCAAUAAUUGUUCCUGUUGAUAGGAAUGAAUAGAAUAAUAUGGAUCAUAUUUGGUGAAAUUUUCUGCAGAUGAUACUGCCAAGGAAUUUGCCACUGCCACUAGGAAACAAUAAAUAUAUACACACGUAUAAUCUCUAAUGCUUAUAAAAAUGUUUCUUUGAUUUACAAUCUUGCAACAUUUGGAUGUUGGAGAAACUAUGUAUAAAGGCUUUGUCCGAGGCAAUGUUGGGAACUCUAUAAGAAGAAGGAAUAUUUGUAAUGUUUUUAUAUGUUGAAUUGAAAUGUUAAUGAUUGAUGAAUAUAAAAUUUUUAUUACUGAUUAAA